rnacentral:rRNA from 1 species
GAUGAACGCUGGCGGCGUGCCUAAUACAUGCAAGUCGAGCGAACAGACGAGGAGCUUGCUCCUCUGACGUUAGCGGCGGACGGGUGAGUAACACGUGGAUAACCUACCUAUAAGACUGGGAUAACUUCGGGAAACCGGAGCUAAUACUGGAUAAUAUAUUGAACCGCAUGGUUCAAUAGUGAAAGACGGUUUUGCUGUCACUUAUAGAUGGAUCCGCGCCGCAUUAGCUAGUUGGUAAGGUAACGGCUUACCAAGGCAACGAUGCGUAGCCGACCUGAGAGGGUGAUCGGCCACACUGGAACUGAGACACGGUCCAGACUCCUACGGGAGGCAGCAGUAGGGAAUCUUCCGCAAUGGGCGAAAGCCUGACGGAGCAACGCCGCGUGAGUGAUGAAGGUCUUCGGAUCGUAAAACUCUGUUAUUAGGGAAGAACAAAUGUGUAAGUAACUAUGCACGUCUUGACGGUACCUAAUCAGAAAGCCACGGCUAACUACGU